UUCUGAAACAGUAUGGAGCUCAAAUGCUUUUUCUCUUGCAGGUUUAUCACAAGUGAGGUGGACUGGUGAUAGCUUUGAGAAUGGAUGAGCAGAUUGAAGAGGACUACAGCGAGGAAAGGCUUGCAUGAUGACGUCCAGACAGUCCUGCGAAGCUCUGAUGUGAAGGACCAGUUUAUUCUCGGUAACAAGGGGAGUAAGAAGUCACUGGGAAUGAGGUGAGAGGGCUGCGUGUGGGGUACACACUUUUAAUUGAGGGGAGGAAAAUGUGCAUCAGUAGUGUUGUGAGGGGCGGAGGGCGAUCUUCAGAGGCCAAUUAAUUUGGAAUACAAAGCAGCGGGGCAAUCUGCUCAGGUUUCUGUCCUGGUGCGUGGCUAGCACACACCGGCCAUGUCUCUGAGGCAUCCAAGAUCAAAUUAAUUUAAACACUCCUCCAACCUCCCUCCAACUCCACCAAUCCACCUCUACUCCCCCACACUGUCUCUACCUCUGUUUAUUGCAACUGUGAACUCUCCAUAGAAAAUCUCUCCCUACAGCACAAAUUCAUACUAUUAUCCCACACCGAAUCUUUUUCUCUCUUUCUCACACUGAGAGGAGUCUUUUAACUCAGCCAAAAAUAACCAAUACUUUCCCCUUCAGACUGCUGUUUGUGUGCGAAGAAAACUGAAAUGGCCAAACCCAUUCCUGGAUUUGAUCCUUUAAAUCAGUGUUUAUCAACCUUUUCUGAACCGCAGUACAUUUCUUACAAUAAGAAUAUCCCACAGCACAUCAACAACCGAAAAAGUUAGCUUCAUAUAUAAUGACAAUUUAAUGUAAUUUAGCGACGACUUAAGCUAAUAAUUGACAGACCUCUCAGACACCUUUGUGAUUUCUCUCAUAACAGUUACCUGUUUCUCAGUUUCACUCA